rnacentral:rRNA from 1 species
UACGUAGGGUGCUAGCGUUGUUCGGAAUCAUUGGGCGUAAAGCGCGUGUAGGUUGUUAGUUAAGUCGGGUGUGAAAUCCCUGGGCUCAACCGAGGAAGUGCAUCCGAAACUAACUAGCUAGAGAAUGGUAGAGGAAGGUGGAAUUCCAAGUGUAGAGGUGAAAUUCGUAGAUAUUUGGAGGAAUACCGGCGGCGAAGGCGGCCUUCUGGACCAUUUCUGACACUGAGACGCGAAAACGUGGGGAGCAAACAGG